CAGUGACUGUGUGCCAGCAGCCGCGGUAAAACGUAGGUCACAAGCGUUGUCCGGAAUUACUGGGUGUAAAGGGAGCGCAGGCGGGAAGACAAGUUGGAAGUGAAAUCUAUGGGCUCAACCCAUAAACUGCUUUCAAAACUGUUUUUCUUGAGUAGUGCAGAGGUAGGCGGAAUUCCCGGUGUAGCGGUGGAAUGCGUAGAUAUCGGGAGGAACACCAGUGGCGAAGGCGGCCUACUGGGCACCAACUGACGCUGAGGCUCGAAAGUGUGGGUAGCAAACAGG
rnacentral:rRNA from 1 species